rnacentral:rRNA from 1 species
CGACCGGCGCACGGGUGAGUAACACGUAUGCGACCUGCCCCCCGCAGGGGGAUAACCGGGAGAAAUCCCGACUAAUACCGCGUAACGCCGCGGACCUGCAUGGGUCUGCGGCCAAAGGAAGCGAUUCCGGCGGGGGAUGGGCAUGCGGCGCAUUAGCUAGUCGGCGGGGUAACGGCCCACCGAGGCGACGAUGCGUAGGGGUUCUGAGAGGAAGGUCCCCCACACUGGUACUGAGACACGGACCAGACUCCUACGGGAGGCAGCAG